GCUGAACCCUGCUUGCGGGGGGAUGAGUGGCGAACGGGUGAGUAACACGUGGGCAACCUGCCCCCGGCUUCGGGAUAACUCCAAGAAAUUGGGGCUAAUACCGGAUGUGACCGCUGGCCGCAUGGUCUGGUGGUGGAAAGGGUUUCCGGCUGGGGAUGGGCCCGCGGCCUAUCAGCUUGUUGGUGGGGUAGUGGCCUACCAAGGCGACGACGGGUAGCCGGCCUGAGAGGGUGACCGGCCACACUGGGACUGAGACACGGCCCAGACUCCUACGGGAGGCAGCAGUGGGGAAUAUUGCGCAAUGGGCGGAAGCCUGACGCAGCGACGCCGCGUGGGGGAUGACGGCCUUCGGGUUGUAAACCUCUUUCAGCAGGGACGAAGCCGCGAGGUGACGGUACCUGCAGAAGAAGCACCGGCCAACUACGUGCCAGCAGCCGCGGUAAUACGUAGGGUGCAAGCGUUGUCCGGAAUUAUUGGGCGUAAAGAGCUCGUAGGCGGUUCGUCGCGUCGGCUGUGAAAACCCGGAGCUCAACUCCGGGCCUGCAGUCGAUACGGGCGGACUCGAGUUCGGCAGGGGAGACUGGAAUUCCUGGUGUAGCGGUGAAAUGCGCAGAUAUCAGGAGGAACACCGGUGGCGAAGGCGGGUCUCUGGGCCGAUACUGACGCUGAGGAGCGAAAGCGUGGGGAGCGAACAGGAUUA
rnacentral:rRNA from 1 species